rnacentral:misc_RNA from 1 species
GUGAAUCAUCGAAUUUUUGAACGCAAAUUGCACUUCCUGGUAUUCCGGAAAGUAUGCCUGUUUGAGGGUCAGUUAAAUAAAAAUUGGUGUUGUCGCUGCCUUUUGUGGUGACACGUCGGAAUUGGGUCGUCUUACUUUCGGUUAAGUGACUUAAAAUUUUUGCAUGAUUUUUGAACGUACUUAAAUGGCUUACGCACGUUUGAGAUAUCGAAUGAUUAUUAGGUUCGGUUAUCCUCACGAUUCGUGCCUAUAAUUUUGCAUUAAAUGACCUC